ensembl:snoRNA
UACCAGAAAACUAUGAUGUGGUAUUUCCAAGCACAUAUCUGACUGCUCUUUGUGGAAAACUGACUAUUUCUGAGUUUUCUGGAG